GGUAUAACUCGGAUAUCUGGUGUUCGGGAAGACGGUGCAAAUCCGUCACUACCGCGUAACUGUAAGCGCUAAGAGCCUGGCAUAUAAGGUCACUGGGAUCAGAGUCCUGGGAAGGCCGAUCAAGCUCCACGAGGCGCAAGUCAGGAGACCGGCCAGAUACGGGCUUAAUUC
rnacentral:ncRNA from 2 species